AGAGUUUGAUCAUGGCUCAGGACGAACGCUGGCGGCGUGCUUAACACAUGCAAGUCGAACGGAGAAUAUAGCAAUGUAUUCUUAGUGGCGAACGGGUGAGUAACGCGUAGACAACCUACCUCAAAGAUGGGGACAACACCGCGAAAGUGGUGCUAAUACCGAAUGUGCUAAUGUUGCCUCAUGGUGAUAUUAGGAAAGGU
rnacentral:rRNA from 1 species